ACAGCACAUGUGUGGCUGGGCCAGCUGGGACAGCAUCACUCUACUGUGCAAACCUCCAGGGGACCAGGAGUGGGGCUCCGAGGAGGAAGGCAGAGAAAAAGAUGAAACCUCAGUUGGUUUGGAAACAGAGAUGGCUGCCAAACUCAUACCAGAAGCUGGGAGGAGUUUCUACUAAUGAUCACGGCAGAGGACAAUGUUGGAGAGAAACUUGUGACUCAGGGACCAGGGAUGAAGCAAGCAUGAGACCACCUGCUACGCAGAAGGACCAUGCCGACCACAUCACAGCUGUCUGCCUGGAGCCACAGGCGACUUGGUAUGAGCAGGAAAUAAACUUCUCUCAAGCUGUGAGGUUUUGACAUUAUUUGUUACUGCAGCACAAUCUAGCUUAUCCUGAAUAAUUCAAUGACAAAGAACAUCUAUCUCAGGCCAAGAGUCAACAUCUCAUUUAACAUUAAAAUACUGGAAGCAGCCGGGUGCGGUGGCUCACACCUGUAAUCCCAGCACUUUGGGAGGCUGAGGCGGGCGGAUCAUGAGAUCAAGAGAUCAUCAACAUAGUGAGACCCCCAUCUCCACUAAAAAUACAAAAAUUAGCUGGGCUUGGUGGCGCAUGCCUGUAGUCCCAGCUACUCGGGAGGCUGAGGCAGAAGAAUUGCUUGAACCAGGUAGGCGGAGGUUGCAGUGAGCCAAGGUUGCGCCACUGUACUCCAGCCUGGGCG
rnacentral:lncRNA from 10 species